AUGGGUUUUGCAGGGAGCCAAGUAACAGCUGGGACAAAAUUAGCAGCUUUACGCUGAACUUGCUGCCCAAUGCCGGGAGCCGUUACGAGGUAGAGUUUCUUUUAUUAACAUUUCUGCCCCGAGACAGCUAGCCAAGCCCAGGAGCUGUGGGUCUAGGAACAAAAGAAAACUCUCCCCACCUCCAUGUUAUCUUUCAUAGUGGAUUGUAGCAACAUGAAUUUCAAAACUUGGGGAACUUGCCAAAUACAAAUAAGACGCCUCCGUUUGCUCUUCCUGACACUGCUGCCAUAAUUUAAAGCAUUGCACCACUGCCACUAUCUGAAGUGGGCUAGUUAUAUGUACUUUCCCACCCAAGAAGUGCAAAUUACAACACUUCUUUUAAGGACACUGGACAAACCGAGGCAUGGCAGGAGCUGCAGACUCUCCAAGUAUCCCUCUUUUCCAGGGACAGUCCCAGAUUUACAGAAGCUGUCCUGGUUUCUGAUUUGAGCCAGGAAUGUCCCACUUUUCCUUAGGACAUCCCUAUUUUCAUCAGAGAAAUGUUGGAUGGUAUGGAGUUAUCUGACCGCCUUGAGCCAUCUGAAGGCAGCCUUGAAGGCAGUUUUAAAAAAUAUUUAAUGUUUUAUUAUGUUUUUAUAUAUGUUGGAAGCCGUGCUAAGUGUCUGGGGCAACCCAGUCAGAAAGGUGGGGUAUUAUAAUUACUACUACUACUACUACUACUACUAUUACCGUAAAUAAAGUAAAGGUAAAAGGACCCCUGACCAUUAGGUCCAGUCGUGGCCGACUCUGGGGUUGCGGCGCUCAUCUCGCUUUAUUGGCCGAGGGAGCCGGCGUACAGCUUCCGGGUCAUGUGGCCAGCGUGACUAAGCUGCUUCUGGCGAACCAGAGCAGCGCACGGAAAUGCCGUUCACCUUCCCACCGGAGUGGUACCUAUUUAUCUACUUGCACUUUGACGUGCUUUCGAACUGCUAGGUUGGCGGGAUCGGCAAGUCCUAGGCUCUGUGGUUUAACCCACAGCGCCACCCACGUCCCUUCUAUUAUUAAAUAGGAUGUAACUAUUUUCAUUGGCGAAAUGUUGGAGGGUAUGGAACUGGGUAGAAUCCUUACCUAAUUUGGGGGCUGCAGUCCCCCUAAUACUUGGUGCUGUGAAUCAAGGGCAUAAGUAGAAGGAAAUCUGAGCUCUCUAGGUGAGCUCAUCAGAAGACCCGUUAGUUUAGCUCUCUAACUCAGUUCUGUUUCUACAGCAGGUAUUCAGAUACUUCUGGCAACUGCACCAGCAGCGCACAGAGGCAACAGCUCUCCCAUGCUGUUUGUCCCUGUUACCUGGUAGACUGCAUCUGGAGCUAGAGGUUUAAUUUAGCUGUCCUGACAAGUAAAACCUUCAAGUGCGGAUGUAACCUACCCCUGAAUGCCAAAUGCUGGGGAUAAACAACAGGGGAGAUGGUUGCUUCUAUUCUAAAAGAACAGUCAAGUGCAUUUUUUCCGAGGAUCUCUAGAUGCUAUGGAAGAAUCUAGUUCAGGAAAAUGGCCAGAUACUGCUGCGAAGACAUGCCAAUAACUUUAGGGGGAAUCGACAGUUUUCCCCUCCCAGUGAUAUAAUUCGCAGCACCUUCAACCAAAAUUACAGCUCCCAGGAUUCUUUGGGGAAAGCCAUGUGCUUUAAAGGUAAGGUGUGAAUUCUUAUACAAUAAAAAGUUGGCAAUCCAACAGGAAAGAUCUUAUUUAGCUAUUAGGAUGAAAUGUAGAAAUGCAACCUUUCUGUAUGGCCCAUGGCACUAUCACCAGCCACACCCCUUUUCCCCAUGGCUGGGAUAUUUCCCGAAUUCUCUAGGAAAGAAGAAGUACUGAACUAUUACCCAGCAACGACUUGAUGCAAUGAUAACCAAGCUGUGGUUAGAGGCCACCAGCUCCCAGCCAGCAUAGCCAAUGGUCAGGGAAGAUGGAACAACAUAUGGAGUCCAACAACAUAUGGAGGGCACAAGUCCCCCAGCCGUGACUUAAUGCUUUUCGCUCAGCUAUUGGAUAUAUAACCAUUGUUAUAUUGUUGUGUUCAUGAGAGGGAUGUGUUUUGCACAGAGAAUGUCCUAGAUUCUGUUCCUGGCAUCUUCAGCCGUGUUGUUGUUAAAAAAAACCAGCAGGUAGCUGGUGAUGUAAAAGAAUUCUGCUUCAGAUCCUGGAGAGCCCUGGCCAUUCAGAUUAGACAACCAAUGAGGCUAGACCAGAUGUGGGGUCAGGGAUGGUGGGAGUAGCAGCUGAGCAACCUCUGGAGUGCGAAAGGUGCCCCACACUCCGACCAGGCAGACAAAGAGACUAGAAGGCCUGGAAAAGGCAUGUUCCUAGAAUGAUUAGCUUCAUUCCACUGGUCCUGGAAGACAGAAAGAAAUUAAACCAGCCUUCUCCAACCUGGCGAGGAUCUCCAAAAGUUUUGGCCUACAACUCCUAUCAGCUCAAAGCAACAUGUCCAUGGUCAGUAGGAGCCAUUGAUCAUGCUGGAACUAGGGGCUGAUGGGAAUUGUAGUCUGAAUUACCUGGUGUGCACUAGGUUGGGGGAAAGCUGAUUCUGGCAGUUGCAUACGGGCUGCUUUGUGCACCCUCGACCACUGGAAAUUCAGGGAUUGCUCACUGUCAUGUGAUGAGAAAAUGAUGACCAUAUUCUGAAGCACCGUCACUACUAUUGGGGGGUUUCCCAGAUGUGCCAAUGCUGUUUUCCUGGGGCUCAGCACUCCAGCAUCCUUGGGUGAAUAAUUAAUCUGGUAAAAAUUGUCACCUUCGCCUGGGUUUAAAAUCAGCUGAGGUGAAUAUUUCACCUGUGAUGAAAUGUUGCAGUGUGGAGUGCUCCCCUUCAUGGUGCCAGCCAGCCACUCUCUCUCCCAGGAUACUCCAUUCCAUCCCUGCCCCCCCCCCCCCAGUUUUUAGUUCCCCUCAAAUAUUCAGUCGGUGUCAUUAAGCCUGCUCAGUACUUGUUGGACUGGUUUUUGGGGGUCCUUCAGAGGGUUUUUUAAAAGAUAUUUUGCACUUGGCAAACCUAGACAGCAUCUUAAAAAGCAGAGACAUCACCUUGCCAACAAAGGUCCGUAUAGUUAAAGCCAUGGUUUUCCCAGUAGUGAUGUAUGGAAGUGAGAGCUGGACCAUCAAGAAGGCUGAUCGCCGAAGAAUUGAUGCUUUUGAAUUAUGGUGCUGGAGGAGACUCUUGAGAGUCCCAUGGACUGCAAGAAGAUCAAACGUAUCCAUUCUUAAGGAAAUCAGCCCUGAGUGCUCACUGGAAGGACAGAUCGUGAAGUUGAGUCUCCAAUACUUUGACCACCUCAUGAGAAGAGAAGACUCCCUGGAAAAGACCCUGAUGUUGGGAAAGAUGGAGGGCACAAGGAGAAGGGGACGACAGAGGAGGAGAUGGUUGGGUAGUGUUCUCGAAGCUACCAGCAUGAGUCUGACCAAACUGCGGGAGGCAAUGGAAGACAGAAGUGCCUGGCGUGCUCUGGUCCAUGGGGUCACGAAGAGUUGGACACGACUAAAUGACUAAACAACAACAACAUUUUGCACUUCUGCAAACCUUGGGAUUCACCAAGCCAGUUGCUACCUCCCCUUGUGCACAGUUGGUGAUGUUUUGGCUAUGUUCAUGGGAAUGAAUCUGCAAUUUGUAUGCUAUCUAGCCAGUGGGAAGAACCUCUGGUCCUGCAAAUGUUACUGAACUACAGCUCCCAUAAUCCCUGGCCAUUGGUCAUGUUUGCUGGGGCUGAUGGGAGUUGUAGUUCAGCAACCUCUGUUGGGCCAAAGGUUCCUCAUUACUGCUGCAUAGCAUGAAAUGCAUGAAAAUAGAAAGUAUCCCAUUGUUCCAGCAGUUUGUGAAAUACAUAUGCUCCCAGCUUGGUAGGCACUCCGCUGCUCUUAGAGAAAGGGUUUCUCUAAUUUGGAGGGUUUAAUAGAUUUCAUAGAAUUAUAGUGUUGGAAGGUACCACAAGGGUCAUCUAAUCCAACCCCCGCAAUGCAGGAAUCUUUUUUCCAAAGCAGGACUUGAACCCAGGACCCCAAGAUUCAGAGUUUCUUGUUCUUCCAACUGAGCUACCAGGAGUUGGGCUGGAGCAUUGUCCUGAAACCUGAAGAAGAGAUAUGAGCUUAAUUCAAGCAAAAACAACCACCACAAUGCUGGCUUUUAUCCAACAAAGUUUUACCCAUUGAAGUUAAUGGGUCCAACUUCGUCAUGCUCAUUCAUUUCAAUGGCUCUAACUCUGGACAGGAUAAGCUUUGGGUGCAACCCAGGAACUCAUAUGACCAGGGUUUCACAUUCCAUUGCAUCUGGGGACCCAAAUGAUAAACAGGUUAUUAUUCCAGAUCUUCACGGAGACCUGUAAAUAUUGGCAGCCCAAAGGGUGCGGAGGGGAGGCAACAGCACAAUUUUAGCACAGUGACUCAGAGGGCUGUGAUUCCAGAGAGCCUCGUGUUAAUCGGGUUGGCACUCUCCGGGGACGCAUUCCAACCUCAUGUAAGAAAGCAACUUGGGUGCAAGACCAAGGGGACAGCUGGUCCUGCGAAGCCUUCACCCUGCCCCCUCCCGAGUCUAACAGCCUUAACCAAUUUGGUGCCCUUCCAGGUGUUUUGGACUACAAUUUGCCAUCAGGCCCACCAGUCCAAAACAUCUGGAGGGUGCUAGCGGAGGCUGGUCUAGCAAACCCCUUUCAACCCUUUGGGAGAGCUGCCCUGCUGGAAUGGCCUAGCCUACCUCACAGGGUUGCUGUGAAGGCAAAAUGGAGAGCGCGAAAGAGAACCAUGUGCACUACAUGGGAGGAAAGGCGGGAGAGAAAUGUAGUAAAUAAACAAACUUCAGGAGGUUUUGCUUGACUGAGGUUUUGCUUGACUGAUGG